UUCAGGUUUAUACUCAUUUGAAGAAGUUAUUGUACAGUUCUGUAAAUUUUUUGUGAAAAUUUUUUGAUCCAAGAAAACUAUAAAACCUUUUUUUUAAGAACAUCAUAAACUAUAUAUCAUAAACUAUAGAUAUCUUGCCCACAUAUCACAUUCCUUUUUGUACCCCUGUAUUACGAAUCCUUCCAGAUGGCAUUUUUUUGGUUUUUAUCACGCCAUCAAAAUUUAUCAGCACUUACAAACACAUUUAUUUUUUCAGGAUGAGCGUUUUUUGCGAAUGCAAAUAUUAUAAGGAAUCACUUUGACCUUGUUCACUUUUCAUAUUGUGCUGCGUGCUAUGUCGGUUUUCGUCCUCUUGUUAUCAACUAUCUUUCCAUAUCAUUUUCCGUAAUGUUUUUGUACUUUUUAUAAAAAAUUAGCAUACGUAAGUUACAAGUUCGAUGAGGUUAAAUCUUAGUGGCAAACAAUGAUCAUUUAAUCGACAUAAAGUUUUAUUAUAUUCUGAAAGUACAUAGAAACUCAGCUAGUCAGUCAUAAUUCGAUAGUUUCAAAACUAAAACCGCAGAUAAGCUGUUGGGUAAUAACUCAAAUGUCUCUGUUCGAUGAACCAAAAAACUUGAAAUACUGAUAGUGUAUUGUAGAACUAAAACGGCGGGG